AAGCACCGGCUAACUCCGUGCCAGCAGCCGCGGUAAUACGGAGGGUGCAAGCGUUAUCCGGAAUUAUUGGGCGUAAAGCGCCUGUAGGUUGUUUAAUAAGUCUGUUGUUAAAGACUAGGGCUUAACCCUAGGAAAGCAAUGGAAACUACUAAACUUGAGUAUGGCAGGGGUAGAGGGAAUUUCUAGUGUAGCGGUGAAAUGCGUAGAUAUUAGAAAGAACACCGGUGGCGAAAGCGCUCUACUGGACCAUUACUGACACUCAGAGACGAAAGCUAGGGUAGCAAAUGGGAUUAGAUACCCUAGUAGUCUUAGCCGUAAACGAUGGAUACUAAAAAUUGGGUGCAUUGAUCCGCGUGGUGUUAUAGUUAACGCGUUAAGUAUCCCGCCUGGGGAGUAUGCUCGCAAGGGUGAAACUC
rnacentral:rRNA from 1 species